CUCUCAGGCGUCCCGGGCUCCUCCUCGACUCGACAGAACGACGACGUCGAGGCGUAAAGCACACUCGACAUACAUGUUGUAGUUACCUGCCACUCGGCAGGGGCCAAGACAUAAUGGGUUUAAAGAGUGGAGGAGGUCUGACUUCGUGUGUGUGUGUGACACUCAGUGCCGUCGGUAAAGGCUGCGCCCUCCAUAACUGCGAGUUGUUUACAUUAGUGUUGCACGCAAAGUCGAUGUGACCUCAGUUCAUGUGCAAAUUGAUGGGUGUUCCGGGUGGAAAUAAUAUACGUAACUUGCGCUAUCAAGAAUAAUGAGGUCUGGGGUCACCUACAACUUCAAAAGUGACCUCAAACCAUGUGUGAUUUUAAAGAUACUCCAAUUGGACUUCGAAACAUAUUAAAACAGUUGCUAGAAAACGUCCGAUUCACUCAAAGCUUGUAAAAGUUCCCAUAAAAGAUGUUGUCCAAUUGAGAGACUUUACAAUAAGUGUUACAAAUAUUCAAACGGAAGGAAAUCAAAGCACACAUUAACGAUAUAAACAUCUUGAAACGUGACCUCAAAACAUGCAACCGUAUUGUAGAUUAAGAAAACGACUGAAAAGGCUCGCGUGUCAUUAUGGACACAAAAAGACAAGGAGUUUCUCGAGGAAAAGGAAAAAUUGCUUGUGUAAGGAGGAUAUGUGAAAUAUACAAAGUGGAAAACUAAGCUGGGUACGUUAACCGGAAACGUUUCUGUGCGCAGAAAAUGUUUUGCUGAAACCACAUGCUGCUCAAGACUUGUACAACGCGUAUGGCAUGAAGAGUAUUUUCGUAUCACAUAAGAAGAAACAAUUAUCACAUACCAUGGCUUGUACAUCCAAGGAUAUGCCGAAAUUCACAUACAUUUUCCCAACACCACAAAAAGGCUGGCAGAAGGUUAAAUGAAGAUUAUUCACACACAAAAUUUGUUUAUUCCAAAAACGUUGGAACAGCCCAGGAGAGUAAUGAAUUCACAUCUUAUAAAAGCCAAGUUAAUUCAAAAGUUUUCUUCUACAGACAGAGAGGCUGCCUCAGAGGGACGUACUUUCUCAGUAUUGGGAUGGGAUUGCUAGACCUACACCCCUUGCCUCAGAGACGAAUAUCAAGUCAUUUUCGUGCGGGAGGAUGGUCCAGACAACGAACAUUCAGCGAUGCCCAACGCCACUGAUCCAACGGCAAUUUGUUUUACCAACGUUUUAUGCUUAGCGAGUUAAUGCAUUAAAUAUCCCGUAUGUUUGUUCCCCUUGCAAUAAAAGGUCUAUGUGCGAAAAA